CCAUGUUGUGAACGUUUUUAAGUGGGUCCCACACCCUUCCCUACUCUUUUUUUUCAACUAGUUACCACAAAUAUCUAGAUAUUUUUACUCCAUGUUGCAAGUUGAUGCAAGUGGUGAAAGAUGAUCAUUACUAACAACUAGUUACUUCAUUUUCUAACCAUUUCAUCACAACUUUUAAACCAUCCAUUUUCACACACAAACUCUCUCAUCAUCUUCAUCCAUUUCACCAAGAACACCAUAAAAACCCACUUCACUUUAGUCAUUUCUUUGAUGAUCAAGAUGAUUUUCUAUGGAACCAAAGAUGAUCUAAAGCACUUACAAGCUAAAGCAAGUAUUUUCAUCCAUUCAAGAGCAUUCUACCAUCAAGAUCAUCAUCUUCUUAGUUCUUAAUCAUCCUCUAGAUCAUCCCUAGCCUAGUGCUAGAAGUGGUGAUACUAUUCAGGACGACCGUACGUCAGAUCACAGUUACUUACCAUUCACGGACGCAAUUCUGAAAUUAGUGGACCAUGCAGACAUUUCAAUCAAGGAAAGC